AAAUGACUCUCGGCAACGGAUAUCCCGGCUCUCGCAUCGAUGAAGAACGUAGCGAAAUGCGAUACUUGGUGUGAAUUGCAGAAUCCCGUGAACCAUCGAGUCUUUGAACGCAAGUUGCGCCCGAGGCCUCGGCUAAGGGCACGUCUGCCUGGGUGUCAUGC
rnacentral:rRNA from 1 species